CUGUGGGAGCAGUUGGUGGCUGACUAAAUACUUUUUUGCCCCACUGUAACAUUUAAAACAUGUCUCAUCCAUAAACCUAGAGUUUCUAGACUAGGGACCUUAGACACUCUAGGUUUGGGAUAGCGUGUUACAAGGGUGUAGCAAUGGUUUUACUGUGGAGAACUACGUACUAAUGGUUCAAUGUGGAGAGAGGGAGUGAGUGACAGAGAGAGUGAGAAGUAUGUGUGUGAAAUGUAUAUGAGCUUGCGUGUUGGCCACAGCAGUGACAUAAUGUGUCUCUCUCUGGCGCUGUGUGUGUGUGUGUGUGUGUGUGUGUUCAAAGCUCAGCAAAAGUGAUGACGCAAUGACAUCACACCAUAACAGAAAUGUCCUAUCAACUUAUAUACUCCCAAAAUAGCCUACAACACGGCCCACCAGAAAUGCACAGCGAUACAAAUCACAUGUGGCUCUGGGCACAGCAGUGCUAAUUUAAUGGGACUCAAAUGCCAGGCAUUAGAAUGCUGAGAGCAUUCCUGAACCACACCUACUACCAAGAUAACACAUGUCUAGCCUGAAGUCAUAUGAUUAACCUAACAGAUGAAUAUAGUACUUCACCUCUAACACUGUAAUAGAAACAGGUCUGGUGUGGAGUACCAGUAAAUAAAUUGUAGGGGGUAUGCCGUACUGGUAAAACAUGUGGACAUAUCACAAUAAUUAAAACAAAGAUUCUAUUUGUCAUUACCGCAUGUCAGUCGCAUGAAAAAUGAGCAAAUAGACUUGAGAACUUGUGGACUACGCUCCAAAGUGAUGUCUCUUUGCAUUUAACAAAUGGGAACAGGGAAAAAAUAUGAUUUAUUUCUUUCCACAUCUUGAGAGAAUAAAAGUUGACAUUCAAGACUAAAUGAAAUACUAUCAGUUGUUUGAUCGUUUUAACAGCUUUUCAUUUCCUUUAAACUGAUGUCAUUUGGAAAUCUCCCUGGUCCCUAAAUGUCCUCAAAUUUAACCAAUCUCAACUAGAUUGUUGAUGAUUCAUUGAUCAUUCUGUCGAUUUAUGACAUUCUAGCGAGCAAGUGCUUAUUUAGAGUUCUAGACGAGCAUUAAGUAAUGACACAAGAGAAGCUGCACAUAUCUAAUUAUAGACAAGUUUGCUAACAAAUAGCCUUCCAAAUUGUCAGAAAUUAUAAGCAGAAAAAUAUGUACAUGAGGCUUAAAAAGUCCCCCCAACAUGACUGGUUGUGUUUAUGCCACAUUAAAAGGUAGGCUAAUACAUUUGAAAAGUUAAACGACACAUCUUUACUAUUAGGCCGAUGGUGAUCCUAAUAAAAUCAUAUGGAUUCUAUGAUUAGACCCAUCAUUUUUUUAAACUCGUGCAAACAUAGGAGGUCCCCAUACUUUGAAGAAAUGAAAUCUACUACUUUCACCCCUGAAUAACACUAUUAGCUACAGUAUCGAAUACAUAACACUAUAAGAAAUAACAGUUUUAUAACAACCUAUUUUAGUCCUUAAAGGGACAUUUCACCGCUGCUCUAUUUCACUAUAUAUGUCCAUUAAUAUGUUAACUUAUCCUAUGGGUCAUAAAAAAAUAUUUGAAAAAUCCUCACUACACGCAAAUGCGAGCGUUUCUGCAUCUCACAGGUAGAAACGGGCCAGCUACAUUUCGUGGUUGUAAGCAAACGACAAUAACCAGAUUUCAUAGUGAUUUCAGGAUGUAGGUGCCGCUCUGUGGAGGUGUAUCCAGUUGAUGUGAGAAAUAUACAAAUGCCUGUGUUUGUAACCAGCACUUUCAGCCAGAGUGUUUCAAAACGGAACUGAAGUCUCAACUGAUGAUUUUUUCCAUGUCGUCGACUGUUGAAAAGUGAUGCUAUUCCAUCAAUUUCCUACUUCACUUCGAAGAGGAAGGGAUCCGAUCAGCCAACAUCAACGCUGCAGAAAAAAAAAGUCAAGCCGAGAGUCCGAUUCCAACAACAUCUGCGGUGGCAUCAAGCUCAGCACCAGGAACGAGUAGCCUAAUCCUGCUGCUGAUAAUUAAUCCUGCCGACCAUGACCAUGACACCAGCUUUAGUAGUACAGAGCCUUUAGACCCAUUGGAUGACAACUUUAAGCCUGGAAUAAGCUCAAGGCCAACAUCAUGACUUUGAACCAAGCCAAGACAGGCAAGGGAGACUUGCAGUACAUAGAAAUCAUCUGCAAGAGGUCGACGCAGUGGGUGGUGGAGAACAUCACCACAGCGCCAAAGCCUGCUAAACCAGCUGCCAUUACCCAACACAAGAAGACGUUCAGCACACGAACAUUCUGGAACCUGCCAGGAUAUUCAAUCAACUAAUCAUCCAUAUAGUUUGACUGAUGCUGUAGUAUAAUAUAGAAUGCCUAGUAUGCUCAAUUGCAUUGUGGUAUAGUUAUUGCUAGCUGUUGAACAUAUGUAUAUAAUGGUGUUUUAUACAUUUUUUUUUAUAUAUAUUUUUUAUACAAGUGUACUGACAAGUGACUAAAUGAUUCCAGCUGCAUCAGAAACCAAUAGUGCUGACUUUAAAUUGUGAUAUUCAUGAAAUGUACUUUGGUAAACUAGCUUCAAUCUUACUGCUAAAACAAAUGAAGGUCGUUGGUGUAUCAUUUAAACUUUAAUUUGUUGGCAAGUAAACAUGUUAAAAUAAAACAGAUGUCUUCAAGACAAAGUUUAUUUGCUCUGGAGACCGAGGUGAGUUUACAUGCAGGAAGUUAUGGCAAUGUAUGACAUACUGUAUAUACAGUAGAAAAAUAUAUACUAAUGCUUAUAAUAAAUACUAGUUCUACAAUGGGAA